rnacentral:lncRNA from 1 species
AUGCAAAGGCUGCUGGAUGACUAUUGGAGGCUGGCCAGGGUCCCAGAACUACUGGUACUUUCUCUUAACCUCAUGCACAGGAAAGUGAGCUCUCCUGGGAGUUCCUCCAUUCAGUUGAAUUCAGAUUUUCACUGUGUGCUUUGUAUGUAUUCUGAAUACGAGCAUGAGAAGGCCCAGGCCCUGUGGGUGUGAGCAAAGCUUUGGAAGCACUGUUUAUCAGCUCUGUCCCAUCCUGUUAGCCUAGUUAGUGUUGUGAAGGCUAUGAAAAAGUUUCCAGCACUAACCCCCACUCUGCCAGGGCAGUGACCCAUAUUAGGGCCUACCUAUCCCUGUACCUUGGUCCUAAAUGUAUUCUUAUGCUCUAUUUUUCACUUUAUACCUUGCAGGGUAACGUAAAAUAGUUCUGUGCAAAAAUGAAUUUCUACCACUGCGCUUGUUGGGGGCAGGGGCAGGGGCAGGGGGAGGCUUGCGGUUAGGCUAUCUGUUCUCUCUACCUUUCUUUUUCUAACUUGUGCUCUUCUGGGGAAAAAAAAUAGCUUAAAUUAUUAAUUUAUGGUGAAAAUUUAAGACAUGUAAGUUGACAUUCUGGUGCCAAAGAUAUGCUUGGUCCAGUAGUACCCCUCAAAUCAUUUUUGUGGUCCAGUUCAUACCCCCAGCCCUGAAAGGUAAGUGGUGGGAAGAGUUGGGGCCACUGGUAACAUUCCAUUUUCCUGCCCUUCAGGUCUCAGCAUUGGGACGUGGUCAUCAUUAGGUUAAAGGGAGGAACUCACAACUAAAGAGAAAUCUCUACCUGCUGUAUUUAGGGGUUUCAAAUAGGUUUUCUUUCCUCCAGAAAGAGAUUUAUGUUAGAGCAGUCCAUAUAACCAUAUAACUUUUUUUUUUUUUUUUGCCUUUUUUUUAGGGCCACACCCACAGCAUAGGGGGGUUCCCAGGUUUGAGGGUCUAAUCAGAGCUAUUGCUGCUGGCCUACACCUCAGACAUAGCAAUGCAAGAUCUGAGCCACAUCGGCGACCUACACCACAGCUCACGGCAACGCCAGGUCCUUAACCCACUGAGCGAGGCCAGGGAUUGAACCCGCAACCUCAUGGUUCCUAGUCGGAUUCGUUUCCACUGAGCCAUGACGGGAACUCCCUGUAACUGUUAUCUUUAACAAGUGAAUUACGCAUACAUCAUUUACAUAGUGUUUUUAAAGUAAAUUUAGAAAAAAUAACACAUUUUUCUCCUAUAGAAAAUUCCUCUAGGUUAACUACAGUUAACCAAAAGAAGUUUGAAUAAUUGAGAUUGAUGUAACCAUAGAGUUAUUUUUAAUGAUUUAAUCAGUGAGAGCGUUGGUUCCCAAGUUGGUUACAAAUCAGAAGAAUCUAGGGUACUUUUCCAAGAACUUUUCCCUGAGCCCUGACCCUGGGGAGGCAGUGUAUCUGGGGUGCAGCCUGGGAAUCUGUAUUAGUUUUAAUAAGCACUUGAGUGAUACUGAAGCAGACGGUUUUGGGAAUACCCCUAAAGUAGAAAAUAAAAGCUCUCUUAGUGUGUUUUUUAAAUUAACA